ensembl:lncRNA
AUGGGGGAUGUGCACAUAGGAGAGACAGAAGAGGGGAGAAAAAGAAGUGAAAGUUGUGGGAAGGAGGUAAAAGAAGAGAAUGAAUUCUCUCUUCAGCUGAGGAAGUGGAAGAGUGAGAAGAGCUUCCAGAGUCCAGCCUAUUGGAGCCACCAGCGGAAUGAGCACAGACCCCAGAGGAGCAGAAGACCCAUCCGGUGAAGCCUGACCUGAAUUCCUGACUAACAAGUGGCUUAACAAGUGGAAUUUUGGGCUUGCUGAAGAGGAAGAAAGAGGAGGAAGAGGAGAAGGAAAGUGUAAUUAACAAGAAAAAACUAACACCUUGAAUAUUUAACAGAAUGUCAGCUAGUCGCCUGUAAUUCAGUCACUGUUCUCUACAUAGCUAAACUUUUAGUAAUAAUGUAGGUAUUCCCUGGCCAAGAGAAACAUAGAAUGUGUGUGUGUGUAUAACAGAAGCAAAUGAAAAGAAAACAAAAUAAAGGACAUUCUGGAGUCAGGGAGUAAAUAUUUCAUUUUAGAGCACAGCAUGUUUUAAUGGAAUAUGGUGUCUAGGGCUGGAGAAGAAAUCACAAAUAUACUUAUUUAUAAUUACUUAUUAUUUUUACAAACUCUGCUUACUAAAAAUUAUUUGAAACAGCUCACAUUUAUCCAACAAACACUGCUGAUGCCUCAUAUACGCUUUGCCUCAAUUUGUUGAGAGUAGGUACGGAGCAUGAGUCAGAAUUCGUAAAGGCAAGUAUAAGGAAUGUGAUCGCUAGUAGGAGGCGAUUCUCUUUCAACUUCCUAAGUUUCUGUAUGUCUUGUGAUAGGUAGAGAAUACCUUGGUUGUGGAUUAUCCUUUUGAGGAUAUUUGCAUUAUCGACUAGCCUUGGGAGAGAAAAAGGGAGAUACAGAAAGACAGAGAGGAUAGUUCUCUCAAGAGCAAUGGACCAGCAUGCUUACUGCCUAUUAUAAAGUAUUUGAGUUCCCUAAGCUCAGGAUUUUUUUCUCUUAAACAAAACCCACAGUGGCUUGGUUUUCUUCAAGUUACCAUGUGGAAACUGGGGCUUGGGGAAUGGAUGCAAUUGCUGUAAUAAACAGUCCCAUAACUGUCAGUAAUAAAUAGUUCUACAUCUCUGGCCCAUGGAUUUCGUAGCUUUAUCCAACACCCAUAAAAAGGUGUAAGUAAUUUCUUGGUUUGCGUGUGGGGUAAAUUUUCAGACCUUUCACAAAUUUUGCGAUUUGCUUUGAGUAUUUGCACUUUAUUCAGACAAAUACUUGAGCCAAACUAGUAUUUCCUCAAGGUAAAAUAUCUUCUGUCAUAUUUAAUUUUCCUGUUAAAUUUAAACUCAAAAACCUCCUCAGGGGAAAAUGAGAAAAGGAUAUUGUAAAAGAAAGAAGAGUCAAAAUGGAGUGAUAAGAAUACCAAAAAUAAGCUGGGUGCAGUGGCUCAUGCCUGUAAUUCCAGCACUUGAGGUGGCCAAGGUGGGGGGAGGGUCACUUGAGGCCAGGAGUUCAAGACCAGCCUGGGCAACAUAGCAAGACCCCAUCUCUAUUAAAAAAAAAAGUAAAAAACAGACCAAAAAAAGUACCAAAAAUAAUGAAAAACAAAAAAUAGUUCAAAGAAAAGCAUAGGGUAUAGGCCUUAAAGUUUUAAAAAUGUGUUUAGACAAAUGUUGUUUAAAAGUGUUUUAGAGUCAUCCAAUGGUUAUGCUAAUAGACAUACUUUUGUGGAAAAUAUGGAAAAGGUUUAGUUUAUUGAGAGAGUGGUGGUUGACUAUUCUUGACCAAUUUUUAAAUGGCAAAGUUUUAUUAUAAUUUAAGAAUGGAGACAGACAGCUGUGAAUAACUCAAUUGAAAUGUAAGCUGAUGAAAGAAGAAGGAUAUAGACAUUUUUCUAGUGUUCGAAUUAUGCAGUGCUUGCCCUGAAUACUGCUGAACUCACCACUUGGAAGGGAAGACUAAUCUUAUUUGGAACAUGCCAUUGUUUAGUAUGUAAUUUCUCACUAUUUCUUAAUUUAAAGGUGUCAGUGAAAACUGCAAACUCAGUUAUUUAAAUAUCUGACGCUUUUGAAAAUCCAGCUACCUUUAUCCAUUAGACAAAAUAGAUUUAUUUAUGAUUCUAUUAAUUACAUUUUAAUAAAAGUGAAGAUGAAAUAAAGUGGAACAAACUGAAAGAUAAAUCAUGGUGUUAGUGAAUCAUUUUUAACUACACUAUAUAUUGAAUAAACACAAUGCACCAUGGCUGAUUCAAAAGUACUACAUAUAGUGAUUUUUAAAAAAAUCGUGGUAUAAGUAAGGUAGCUUCCACUUAGAAGAAAAGUGUCACUGAUUUCUCAAUCAGCUGAGAACACCCACAAGGAUAAUCAGAGGCAACUCUUGUUGUUAAACAUGAACUCAAAAUACAUCUAAAUCAAGUAAUCAGUCUGUUGAUUAAAAAGUUAAAAGAAAAUGCCUUAUAGAAAAAUAUAAGAUGAUCUAAAAAUAUCAUAUGUAAUGAAGGAAGUAAUAACACAUUCGAAAUUCCUUACCCAAACCUUUCAGCAGCAUUCAGCAUGACAGGACAAUAUGAUUUUCAAUUUCAUAAAUUUAUGGUUGCUAGCAUCUUUCAUCUGGAAUUCUUAGUUAUCUCUUCAGAGUUGAAUGAAUUGAAUCAGAUUAAUCAGCAUUUACUGAGUGUGUAAGGUACUGUGUUUCCUUGCUGGGGGCACAGAAAGGUGACGGCUGCAAAGAAAAAGAAUAAACCAGCAAGCUUACAACCUAUUAGGGAUGUAAGGCUAAAAAGAAUAAUAAUAAAGAUGUAGAUAAUAGGUCAAGUGAAGACUGGAAAAAAAUUCCACCAGAUAGGAUGUGAUUCAUUGCCAAAAGAAUUUUGCAAACAGUAAUUGCUGGAAUUCAAAAAGGAGAAACUACAGUAGACUAGGGUGGUCUGAAAAGGCAUCAAGAGCCAAAUGGGAUUUGAUCUGGGAUUGAAGGAUGGUGAAAUCUAGCUGCAUGAAGAAUGCAAAGAUCAAGACAGAGGUUGGCAAACUGCUGUGUGGGGGCCAAAUCCCAAUUGUUUUUCUAUAGCUGCAGAACCAAAAAUGGAUUGUACAUUUUUAAAUUGUUAAAAAAACAAAGAAUAUUUCAUAGCACUGAGAAGUCUAUGAAAUAUAAAUUUUAAUGUUCAUAAAAAGUUUUAUUGGGACACAGCCACUGCCCAGUUUAUGGCUGCUUUCUUACUACAAUGGCAGUGUUGAGUAGUUGUGACAGAGACCAAAUGGCUUGCAAAGCCUAAUAUUUACUAUGUGCCUCUUUGCUGACAAAGUUUGCCAACUGUUGAUGUAAGAGAAUAAUGGGAAAUGAUCGUGGAAAGAAUGUUGGCAGGCCUAUAAAUACACCAGGAGGCCACUGAAAGCUUUGACUAGAGGAGGAAGCCCAUUCACAAAUUGUUUCUGCUUCCUAUACACAUCACCUGGGCUUGCAAAUGUUUGUUAAACCAACAAAUGAACCAGCAUUUUCAGAUUCCUAAGUCACUUGUUGCUUUAUAUCU